CUCAGCCUCACAUCCUUGCUCAGGGGUUUGCAUCUGCCUCUGGUGCUUCCCUCACUCCCCGCUUAAUGCCAGUGCUGGGGGAAACUCUCCCUCUUCCUUCCUCCCUCCACCCCAUGAAUAAAAAACGGGGAAGAAAGGGGAUAAAAUGCUUAUUUUAAUGCAGUGAGCCAGGCUUUAGGAGAGGUAUAAGCAGCAAAUAAGGGCGAGGUGCUGAUUAUUAUUUUUUAAGCCUAAAAUCUAAGCCCUGUGUACGUGUUUCUAUUAAAUGGUGUAAAAGGCUGGUUUGGAAUCCACGCUGCUCCUGCAUCCUGCCUGGAACAAAGAGCAGCUGCUUCCAGUGACUUCAGAGCUCAGGAAAAAGACAGGAGCCCACCGAAACAGAAUUUGCCCAGCAGCAGGCAGUGAAGGGCCGAGAGGAGCAGAGCUUCCCUUCGAGGCACAGAGUAGCAGAGAGAUCGGCUUCUGCCCGUCCCG
rnacentral:lncRNA from 1 species